rnacentral:rRNA from 1 species
AGAGUUUGAUUAUGGCUCAGAGCGAACGCUGGCGGCAGGCUUAACACAUGCAAGUCGAGCGGGCGUAGCAAUACGUCAGCGGCAGACGGGUGAGUAACGCGUGGGAACGUACCUUUGGUUCGGAACAACACAGGGAAACUUGUGCUAAUACCGGAUAAGCCCUUACGGGGAAAGAUUUAUCGCCGAAAGAUCGGCCCGCGUCUGAUUAGCUAGUUGGUAGGGUAAUGGCCUACCAAGGCGACGAUCAGUAGCUGGUCUGAGAGGAUGAUCAGCCACAUUGGGACUGAGACACGGCCCAAACUCCUACGGGAGGCAGCAGGUGGGGAAUAUUGGACAAGUGGGGGCAACCCUGAACUCCAGCCAUGCCGCGUGAGUGAUGAAGGCCCUAGGGUUGUAAAGCUCUUUUGUGCGGGAAGAUAAUGACGGUACCGCAAGAAUAAGCCCCGGCUAACUUCGUGCCAGCCGCCGC